ACGGGGUGCAGCAGGCGCGAAAACUUUACAAUGCGGGAAACCGUGAUAAGGGGACACCGAGUGCCAGCAUCAUAUGCUGGCUGUCCGGGUGUGUAAAAUACACCUGUUAGCAAGGGCCGGGCAAGACCGGUGCCAGCCGCCGCGGUAACACCGGCGGCCCGAGUGGUGAUCGUGAUUAUUGGGUCUAAAGGGUCCGUAGCCGGUUUGGUCAGUCCUCCGGGAAAUCUGAUGGCUCAACCAUUAGGCUUUCGGGGGAUACUGCCAGGCUUGGAACCGGGAGAGGUAAGAGGUACUACAGGGGUAGGAGUGAAAUCUUGUAAUCCCUGUGGGACCACCUGUGGCGAAGGCGUCUUACCAGAACGGGUUCGACGGUGAGGGACGAAAGCUGGGGGCACGAACCGGAUUAGAUACCCGGGUAGUCCCAGCCGUAAACGAUGCUCGCUAGGUGUCAGGCAUGGCGCGACCGUGUCUGGUGCCGCAGGGAAGCCGUGAAGCGAGCCACCUGGGAAGUACGGCCGCAAGGCUGAAACUUAAAGGAAUUGGCGGGGGAGCAC
rnacentral:rRNA from 1 species